AUGCUUACAUGGCAGAGAUGCCGUGAUCACAAAGGUGGCUUCCUCUGGCCAAGUGUUAUCCAUUGCUCUCCGGGUAUGCUGACCCUCAUCAUUUCCGGAAAUGUGGAAAACUCCACUACAUAAUUUGUGGUAGUGGAGGACUGUGGUAGCUUUUUCCCUGG
ensembl:snRNA U1 U1 spliceosomal RNA